AACACUGUUAACCUGCGGUACCUGCGGAGGGAUCAUUAAUAUUCGAACUUGGCUUCGGCCAAGGGAGUUUAACCUUUUGUGAAAUCAAAAAUCUUUUUCGCUUCGGCAGCAGGGUGGUUUAUUCAACCUGUAAGCCUGCCGGCAGCACCUUCAAAAAACUUUUGAUUACCAAAAAGAUGUCAUAACUAAAAUUUUCGAAUGAAAAUUAAAACUUUCAGCAAUGGAUCUCAGAUCGGAAGA
rnacentral:misc_RNA from 1 species